GUCUUUUGUGAGUACCCUAAGGUUUCUGCCUAAGAUUCGAAAAGUGAGAAGGUGAGCUACGAGUGUUGUAAGCCCACCAAACUUUAGGGAGAGCUUCAUCAAUCUUUUAAGUUCUUUUGCUGAUGAUCCAUAGCAUCCGAAGAGUUGGCAGACAUCGAUCGAAGGAGUUCGAUCAGAAUCAGUCGUCAAAAGAGUUCUACAACGAACUAGCAUUCGUAAGGAGCCGAUCAGG
rnacentral:lncRNA from 1 species